CAAACGGCAGAGAUACAGAUACAGAACCGGUGCGCAUCUCAAUUCAGCAAAUACUGAAAAUGGAAUUCUUGCCGAAAACCACAAAAUGCAAUCCGGAUUCCGCGGAUGCAUCGGCUCCAGAAGUGGCCAAAAAGAGGCAAGAAGUGGCCAAAAAGAGGCAAGAAGUGGCCAAAAAUAGGCCAGAAUUUUCGCCGGAGAGGAUCGCGGUAACUCCUCGGAGGUCGCCCAGUCCCCUUGGAGAAUUAAGUAAUGUAAUGAGUCCUUUGCCGAAUCUUCCGAGCCCCCCCCGUGCAGUGGAGGAUAAUUUAAUUAAUUUAUCGGCCACGCCUCCUCGCAAAAGAAGGAGGUUCCACCCCACAAUUUUUUGGAAGCCGGAAUCGCACAAGGACGGCAGUGGUCGAGAGUGGACCACAUUAAAAUAUCAAUGCGAAAUUUGUUUUAAAAUUUGCCAAAAACCGAAGGCAUAUGAGAACCACAUAAUGUUGUGCAAAAAUGAUUGCAAAACAGUGGCUUGCAAGUGGUGCCCCUAUGUCCAAAAGUCCUCCAAUUUGGGAAAUCACUGGAAGAGGUGCAUAGGGGGGAAAAAAUUGUAUAUCCCCAUUGGGGAACAAUUGAAGCAGCGGAAAAUGUGGUCCGAAAUGAAGGACACGUCGGGAUCGAAAUCGCAAGUGGAAAGUGUGGCCUCCACCCAAGAUUUUGGAUUUUCGGAAACGAUGCAGUUCGUCUUCAAUUCCAUUGAUGAAGACUUUUGAAAAAAUAUUGCCCACGGAGAAGUUACUUCCUUUCGUGUUUUAUUUUACCUCUCGCUGAAAACCCGAUCCAGCUUUCACAUAAUCCUGCCCAGCUUGUCCAGCUUACAACAACUAUUUUACAGAAUUUCCCUGGUUAUUAUUAUCUGCAUAUACAUACAUAUAUUAUCUGUACAUAUAUAUAUAUAUAUAUAUAUAUUUUGAUUUUCGUUUUAGUGUUGAAAAUUUCUCAAAUUAAGCUGUUGAAAGUGUUGAAAAUUUCUCAAAUUAAGCUGUUGAAAGUGUUGAAAAUUUCUCAAAUUAAGCUGCUGGAAAAAUAAAUUUUUUUUCAAUUUUUUUAUUUCAAUUUUUUACAAUUAAUUUGUGUUACCAUUUAAACAAGCGCCAGCAAGAGAAUUGCUACAAUUUGUUGCAUUAUUUUGGCUAAAUUCUAAUAAUUACUACAAGUCCACGUCGUGUUUACAAUUUUCUUAGGCUAGUGAUGGGAGUAUUGACCCGGCUGUUGCGAUAGUCGCUACAUACCAAAGGCACCCUGUACUUAGCCGAAACGAAAAAAGCAACGAUAAAGGGUAUUAUAUCUUUGCUACCUGCGGGAGAAAGCUAUUUACAUAAAACAAGGCACCAGUCGCCGAGUCUGAAAAGAGAGUCAUCAUCAUCGUUGUUUCUGGACGAAGCCGGUUUUUGGGAAAGUCGCCAAAGUCAGGGAGUGGUUCCAGACCCCAGACCCCAAUCCCUAAUCCCCAACAGAGCUCCAAUCCCGCUCCAAUGGUCGCGUGCGAGGUGUGGGUUUAUGUACAUAAGUAUUUUCUUAAAAAAUGUUUUUCUUAUUUAAAUAUAAUUAAUAAAAUAUGAAAUAAAUAAUAAAAAAAUA